rnacentral:rRNA from 1 species
AACGAACGCUGGCGGCAUGCCUAACACAUGCAAGUCGAACGAGACCUUCGGGUCUAGUGGCGCACGGGUGCGUAACGCGUGGGAACCUGCCCUUAGGUUCGGAAUAACUCCCCGAAAGGGGUGCUAAUACCGGAUAAUGUCUUCGGACCAAAGAUUUAUCGCCUUUGGAUGGGCCCGCGUUGGAUUAGCUAGUUGGUAGGGUAAAAGCCUACCAAGGCGACGAUCCAUAGCUGGUCUGUGAGGAUGAUCAGCCACACUGGGACUGAGACACGGCCCAGACUCCUACGGGAGGCAGCAGUGGGGAAUAUUGGACAAUGGGCGAAAGCCUGAUCCAGCAAUGACGCGUGAGUGAUGAAGGCCUUAGGGUUGUAAAGCUCUUUUACCCGGGAUGAUAAUGACAGUACCGGGAGAAUAAGCUCCGGCUAACUCCGUG